UACGGAGGGGGCUAGCGUUGUUCGGAAUUACUGGGCGUAAAGCGUACGUAGGCGGCUUUGUAAGUUAGAGGUGAAAGCCCGGGGCUCAACUCCGGAAUUGCCUUUAAGACUGCAUCGCUUGAAUCAUGGAGAGGUGAGUGGAAUUCCGAGUGUAGAGGUGAAAUUCGUAGAUAUUCGGAAGAACACCAGUGGCGAAGGCGACUCACUGGACAUGUAUUGACACUGAGACGCGAAAGCAUGGGGAGCAAACAGG
rnacentral:rRNA from 1 species